GCCGGGAUGGCGGAACUGGCAGACGCGCAUGCUUGAGGGGCAUGUGGCCGCAAUGGCUGUGGGGGUUCAAGUCCCCCUCCCGGCA
rnacentral:tRNA from 1 species